rnacentral:rRNA from 1 species
GACGAACGCUGGCGGCGUGCUUAACACAUGCAAGUCGAACGGUGAAGCGCCUUCCUUUUUGGUGGGUGUGGAUGAGUGGCGAACGGGUGAGUAACACGUGAGUAACCUGCCCCCUUCUUCUGGAUAACCGCAUGAAAGUGUGGCUAAUACGGGAUAUUCUGGGUCUGUCGCAUGAUGGGUCUGGGAAAGAUAUUGUUUCGGUGGGGGAUGGGCUCGCGGCCUAUCAGCUUGUUGGUGGGGUGAUGGCCUACCAAGGCGGUGACGGGUAGCCGGCCUGAGAGGGUGGACGGUCACACUGGGACUGAGACACGGCCCAGACUCCUACGGGAGGCAGCAGUGGGGAAUAUUGCACAAUGGGCGCAAGCCUGAUGCAGCUACGCCGCGUGAGGGAUGGAGGCCUUCGGGUUGUGAACCUCUUUCGCCAGUGAAGCAGGCCUGCCUCGUUUGUGGGUGGGUUGACGGUAGCUGGAUAAGAAGCGCCGGCUAACUACGUG